UUUCCUGAGGCUCGUUGCCAUCUUGCAUUUUUCCUUUUUUUUUUUUUUCAAGCAGAAGACGGCAUACGAGAUAGGAGUCCGUCUCGUGGGCUCGGAGAUGUGUAUAAGAGACAGGGCGUUAUCCGGAUUUAUUGGGUUUAAAGGGAGCGUAGGCCGGAGAUUAAGCGUGUUGUGAAAUGUAGACGCUCAACGUCUGCACUGCAGCGCGAACUGGUUUCCUUGAGUACGCACAAAGUGGGCGGAAUUCGUGGUGUAGCGGUGAAAUGCUUAGAUAUCACGAAGAACUCCGAUUGCGAAGGCAGCUCACUGGAGCGCAACUGACGCUGAAGCUCGAAAGUGCGGGUAUCGAACAGGAUUAGAUACCCUGGUAGUCCGCACGGUAAACGAUGGAUGCCCGCUGUUGGUCUGAAUAGGUCAGCGGCCAAGCGAAAGCAUUAAGCAUCCCACCUGGGGAGUACGCCGGCAACGGUGAAACUCAAAGGAAUUGACGGGGGCCCGCACAAGCGGAGGAACAUGUGGUUUAAUUCGAUGAUACGCGAGGAACCUUACCCGGGCUUGAAUUGCAGAGGAAGGAUUUGGAGACAAUGACGCCCUUCGGGGCCUCUGUGAAGGUGCUGCAUGGUUGUCGUCAGCUCGUGCCGUGAGGUGUCGGCUUAAGUGCCAUAACGAGCGCAACCCCUCUCCUUAGUUGCCAUCAGGUCAUGCUGGGCACUCUGGGGCUGUCUCUUAUACACAUCUGACGCUGCCGACGAAGAGGAUAGGGUAGACGUUGAGGGUUG
rnacentral:rRNA from 1 species